CAGCCAGAGAGCAGCAGAAGCAGCACAGAGGCAAACGGUCGAACGGAGGAGCAGCUCAACGUUUAGAGAACAUUUUCUGUUCGUCCCUUUUGACACCAGUGGAGGCUGCAUGUCGGCUGAUUACCUCGGCCAGGCGACAGCUCAUCAAGAUGAUUGACGGGUGCUGGGGUGACAUAACCUGACCGGCUGAGUGGGAGGAAGGGGAGACCUUCACCCGGCUACAUCCCCUCCUGUCAGAAGAUUUGAUUGGACAGCAUCAUCAGGGGCUUGUUUUAUAUUUCAAAAACCACUCAGUUGGGUAUUGUUUCUCACGGCUGCUGAGUUUUAAAUCUCGUGGUCAGAGCAGGUAGGAAGUGGACAGAGGAGAGGCUGGCGUCUCAGUUUGACAGCUCCUAACAGGAGCAGGCUGUCCAGGUCAGACCUCACUGAAGUCACAGUUAAUGGGAUCAGAUUAUAGUCGGUGAGGUAUCGACUCUUUCAUUUCAAAUGCAGGGAUCCAUAUCCACUGUAGACAAGACACAGUGCGACGCAGGAGUUUGUGCAUUUUCAUUAUUACAUUACAUUACAUUUCAUUUAGCUGAUGCUUUUAUCCAAAGCGACUUACAAUAAGUGCAUCAACCCCGAGGGUACAGACCCAGAACAACAAGAAUCAAGAAAGUACAAUUUCUUCAAAAUAAAACAAAACUACAGAGUGCUAUAAGUAAGUGCCAUUUAAGUGCUACUAAAGUGUUAGUUUCAAAGAGUUGUUAGUGUUUUUUUUAUUCAAGGUAAAGUCGGAAGAGGUGUGUUUUUAGUUUUCGGCGGAAGAUGUGUAUACUUUCAGAUGUCCGGAUGUCGAUGGGGAGCUCAUUCCACCAUUUAGGAGCCAGGACAGCAAACAGUUGUGAUUUUGAUAAGUGUUUAGCUCAAAGUGAGGGAGCAACGAGCCGAUUAGCCGAGGCAGAGCGGAGUGAACGAGUUGGGGUGUAACGUUUGACCAGGUCCUGGAUGUAGACUGGACCAGAUCCGUUCACAGCAUGGUACGCAAGUACUAGUGUUUUGAACCGGAUGCGAGCGGCCACUGGUAACCAGUGAAGGGAGCGGAGGAGCGGAGUGGUGUGAGUGAAUUUCGGUUGGUUAAAAACCAGUCGAGCUGCUGCAUUCUGGAUGAGCUGCAAAGGUCAGAUUGGCAGUAGCAGGUAGACCUGCCAGGUUGUUCAGUCAAGAACUCACCUGAAUCCUGUUUUUAACAGAUCUCUGAGUCAGGUUUGUGUUGGAACAAGUUAUAAGAAACAACACUGGGCAGGUCAAAGUCAAGUCUGAAGAAAAAUGAGUCAUCUAUUCACUUUUUAACUUAUACGUGUGUUUGGAAAGGUGCUGUAUCAAGAGAGUUAAUCAUAAUUAUCAGCAUUAUUAUCAAAACAGGGGAUAAGUGGUAUCACUACCAGAGUCUGUGACCUGACGAGCCGGACCACCUUUCACAGAAACUCUUGUGACACAGAUCCAAAGUCCAACGCGUCUAUAAACCACAAGCAGCUCAGUCUCUCAACAGUCAGACUCGUGUGGGACAAAAUAAGAAAACAUGAGUGGAUCCAACCUGUCUGUCUUCUUCUCUCCUCGCUGACUGGUAACAAUCCUCGCCGUCCCAGCAGGCACUUGUCCGGACCAGCAGUCCACAGGCCCACAUGCUUGUUUCACUGAGACACCAGAAAGCUCGGGAUCCAAACCGUCCUCGCGCGCUCGCUCCCACCCCCCUCGUCACAGAUUGGCCGAACCUCCGCCAGUGCUCUGCUCCAACGUGUUUACUCUACCAGCUGUGUCAACAACCCCAGGACCAACACUGGUAAAAAGUUAACUUACGAAGGAGAACAAAGAAAGUAGGUAUCUUCAUGUUUGUCAGAGGUGAAGUGAAUCGUCUCAGUAAUGACAACAAGAAGAAACCUGGCGAAGCUGGAACUGAAAAUGAAAGUUAAAGACGCCGGGGAAUUCAAAAAACUUCCCCGGUUGCCAGCAGAUGGGAAUUACCUUCUCAGGCUCAUCAGUGGAUGGACAUGGAAGUGAAACAAAUUCAUUAACAGCCAAAUAAAAAAGUAAAAUGUUUCUCAUCUGGAUGUAAUUCUGCACUUGAUUUAUCCAUUAAUAAAAAACAUACACUUCUUGCAGCCUGGCUAUAACAGUUAUUAAAAAGAUUAAUUCAUUUCAGCUUUAAUUCAUGCUGCCUGAAUUACUUUGUGGAUAUUUAAAAUUAUCAGUGACUAAAGGAAACACACCAAACAAUUCAGAAAUCACAAACUCUGGUUUCCUGUGAGGCAGAAAAGGAAUUGUGUUUUUUUUGUGUUGUUAAUGUGUAGAUUUCUUUUCUUGUUAGUUCUCUGAUUAUUUCUCAUUUCUGUUUAUUAUGUGUUUCCUUUAGUUGCGUUGGCUUCUUUCUUCCCUCUUCCUCUUUUCUGAGGAUUUCCUCUUGCAGUUCACAAUGUGCGGUUGAGGCAGAUUUGUUAAAACUGUAUUAAAUAAUGUUUUUCCUCCUCUUUUCUAAACUGCGCAGCUCAGUGUGGGCCUGCAUCUGAUUUUAAUAUUAUCAAAAGUAAAAGGAUGGCAGCUGAGAAAGUCAUUCUGUGGAAGAAAUCUUGUAGAUGAUGACAUUGGAUUAAAAUAUGUGUUUAAUACUUCACAA